CCUACGGGAGGCUGCAGUGGGGAAUAUUGGACAAUGGGCGAAAGCCUGAUCCAGCCAUGCCGCGUGUGUGAAGAAGGCCUUCGGGUUGUAAAGCACUUUCAGUGGGGAAGAAAGCCUUGGGGCUAAUACCCUCGAGGAAGGACAUCACCCACAGAAGAAGCACCGGCUAACUCCGUGCCAGCAGCCGCGGUAAUACGGAGGGUGCGAGCGUUAAUCGGAAUUACUGGGCGUAAAGCGCGCGUAGGCGGUCUGAUAAGCCGGUUGUGAAAGCCCCGGGCUCAACCUGGGAACGGCAUCCGGAACUGUCAGGCUAGAGUGCAGGAGAGGAAGGUAGAAUUCCCGGUGUAGCGGUGAAAUGCGUAGAGAUCGGGAGGAAUACCAGUGGCGAAGGCGGCCUUAUGGACUGACACUGACGCUGAGGUGCGAAAGCGUGGGUAGCAAACAGGAUUAGAUACCCGAGUAGU
rnacentral:rRNA from 1 species